CAACCGAGUUGAAUUUAUUCACUGUAAAUCAUUUCUACAUAGGGAUAUAAAGCCAGACAACUUCCUUAUGAGUUUAGGGAGGCGUGCUAAUCAGGUCUAUGCUAUUGAUUUCGGGCUAGCCAAGAAAUAUAGAGACUCUUCAACUCAUCGGCACAUUCCAUAUAGAGAGAACAAGAAUUUGACAGGGACAGCUAGAUAUGCAAGCAUGAACCCAAGCCUGAUGGAACAUAAGAGGAAGUUGGCAAAUUGAGAAAAAGAGAAUGCAUCAUCUGUACUUUAAGCUUCCUGCACCAAAGCGAGGCGAGAUUGUUAGACAGAUUGAUGAUCCACAAAGAACCAAGCUUCAGUACCUUGGUAGGCUUCUAUCACUUGAAAUGGAAAAAAUUCUUCCAAAAUGAAUAGGGGAAGUUCAAGUAUGUACUUAAUCACUUUUAGUUAUCAUCGCAUCUUAUUAAGUUGUAUCUUAUUAAAUAAAGUUUUUUCAUAGCAAGAAUUCAUUGUUAUGUGCAAAUUUGUUGUGGGCUUAAGCCGACAAUUUAACAGAUCGGUCAUACCUUCUGAACGUAAGAUCUAUUCCCAUUUCCUUUCAUAUUUCAAAAAUAAAGAAAAAUAACAUUACAACCUUAAUUGGUUACCUUCUAUCUUAUAAACUGUUAAAUGUUGUUGUGUACGAUGGAAUGCAUGCAUUGCUCUAGUAUGCGGAAAUGCUUUUAUUUGGUAAGUGAUACCUAAACCUUGAGAAAUGUCAAUUUUAUCCUUGAAAACCUUAAAGGAAAUAGUACAUUUCAAUAAUUGACUACUUUUGAGAGGUGGCUUCUCUCCCUCAUUUACCGUACAUUUCAUUUGAUGCCUACUACUGCACUUUUAAUAUAAGGGUAAAAAAAGGUUUAUAAAUCUCUUGUAGAGUUGUAUUUCAUGAGGAAAGAUUCAAGAAUGAAGAAAAGUAAGUAAUCUUAUGAUAUUGUGAUUGUCCCUUUUUCUGGAUCAGGUUUAAUUUGGAUUUCAAGCUCACCAGCAUCUCCAAGUAAUGAGGGAUCCGUUACACUUAAGAAUAUCAGCUUAUCAAGAGCAUCACUUGCAUUACUAAAAGAAGGUUUCUUGUUAGAACUUUUGUUUUUAAAAACGAUAAAAGAUGGAAAUCAAACAUGAAACAUGUAGACUGUAGAGAUGUUUUUACAUGUAAAUUUAUAUAUUGUAAGAAAUAGAAUUGUAAGACAUUAAAUUCUAUGAAAUGGAUUAUAUUUUUUGUA